GUAAAACUAAACAUACAACAGUUAUCCUUGGCUCCUGUGUUUUUCUUUUAAUUAGUUUUAUGUUUUACAAAUAAUAAAAUAUACAAGGAGAGCAAUAAAGAAAUAGAGUUAAGAAUCUUUUGAAGAUGGGGAUAGGUUAACAAAAGAAGAAUUCAUCCAUUUUCAAGAAAGAAAAAGCAAGAAUCAGAAUCAGGUUCCAUCGGAAUCGGCGGGAGGAGAGAGAAGCAGUGCGCCGCGCGUGCGCAGCCCUCCGGUGAAAAAUGUUAUUGUAUCCAUUAAAUAGAGACCAUGGACAAUUCCGAUUUGAUGGAGAUGGACGUGAAAGCACAGAGGAACAUCUGGAGAAAUUUCUGAAACGCUCGUUUGCUGCUGUCAUUACUGCGCAGUCGGGAAUCUUUCGGAGGGAAGGCCUCAAAAUCCCCGGCUUUGCCUGCUGUUGGCGACCGAGAAGGAGGUCGAAUCGCCCGGACAGAGAUGGCGCUCAGUACUCGGUGUCGGAGAGCUGAUCAGAGCUCAAAGCUUUCCGAUGACUCGGAGUCAGACCGUGGUCGGGUAUGGCAGGGAGAGUUUUUCUUCCUUCUCCCGUCUGCGUGAGAUGUGGGAUAUUUGAGAGAUUUUGAACUUUUUACUGUGCUCAUGGACUUCUUCAUCAAGUUAUGAUUAUGUAUUGCAUUGAACUGCUGCUGCUGCUAAGUUAACAAAUUUUAUGUCACAUGCUGGUGAUAAUAAACCUGAUUCUGAUUCUGAAGAUACACACUCAACAAUUCAGUAAUAGCUCUUCCUCUCCACCAUCAGAUUUCUGAAUGGACAGUAGACCCAGGGUGGCGAUACGUCUCUACCAAAGGAGGUAUAAGGUGCAUCUCCCUCCGCUAGCCUGCAGGUCACCCUUGGGCCAUGGGAACAGGUGGUGAAUGGCCGUAUGAGGAGCUGGUGCGUAUCACAAGUCCUGGUUAUGUGACAACUGACAUCAGGCAGACAAUCUCUGACGAACAUUGAUAAUGAGUGGGGUCAUUCAUCUUGCAAAGACUCUACCCAGAAGAAGGCAGUAGCAAACCACUUUUAUAUAAAAAUUUGCUGAGAACAGUCAUGGUCAUGGAUAGACUAUGAUCACCUACGUCAUAUUGAUGAUGAUGAGUAUGAUAAGAUGGACACCUCACAACCCAACUUGUUAUAAGACCAUAAGAUAUAGAAGCAAAGUUAAGCCACUGGGCCCAUCAAGUCUGCUCUGUCAUUUCAUCAUGGUUUAAUCCAUCUCCCUCUCAGUCCCAAUCCCCUGCCUUCUCCCUGUAUCCCUUCAUGCCCUCACUAAUCAAGAAUCUAUCAGCCUCUGCCAAUGACUUGGUUUGCAUAACCAUGGUGGCAAUGCAUUCCACAGAUUCACCACUCUCUGGUUAAAGAAAUCCCUCCCCAUCUCCAUUCUAAAAGGACGCUCCUCUAUUAUGAGACUGUGUCCUCUGGUUUUAGACAGCUACACCAUAGAAAACAUCACAUCCACUCUAUCAAGGCCUUUCAACAGGUUGCAGUGAGGACCCCCUCAUUCUUCUGAAAUCAAGUGAGUACAGGCCCAGAGCCAUCAAAUGCCCCUCAUAUGAUAAGCCAUUCAAUCCUAGAAUCAUUUUCAUGAACAUCCUUUGAACCCCCUCUGAUGUCAGCACAUCCUUUCUUAGAUAAGGAGCCCAAAACUGCUCACAGUAAUCCAGGUGAACUCUUACCAAUGUCUUUUAAAGCCUCAACAUUAUAUUCUUGUUUUUAUAAUCUUACAUCUAUUGUUUACCUGUAUUGUACUUUCUCUGUUCCUGUUACACGUUAUUCACAUUGUUAUUGUUUGAUUUUGUUCUAUUUUAAUGCAAUGCUUAAUAAUAUAAUCUGUAUAAAUAGUAUGUACAACAAGUGUUUCAUUGUAGCUCUGUAUGUGUUCUUCCAGCAGAUAUGUAUCUGUUGUUCCAUAUCCCAGCAUCAUGUAUCUCCAAUUAUA